GCCAUGGAGUCCCCUGGUCUGGAUUACGAACAAGGCAGAGACCCCAGCCUUGGGGGUCUCUGGGGGCAGCGGAACCCUUCAUUCGAAGGGCACAUUCCCCACUCCUAGCCUGAAAAACUGCCUGGUAUCUGGCCCAGCGCUUCUCAAACGUGGCUACAUCUCAGAAUCACCUGGAAGCUCUAAACAAACCCGAGUGGAUUCAGCUGGUCGGCCAGUGGGUGGCCUGCCCUCUUCUCUCAAAGCUGCUCCAGAUGCCCCUGCAGGUGAGAGCUGCCUGCACAGUGCCAUGCACGCAAGGAGUGCCUGACAGAGACACAGGCGGGAAGGUUCCGAGGCAUGAGGCUCGGACAGCCCUGGGAAAGUGGCCAAGGGCCUGGACCUCUGGAGCAUGGCUCUCCCAGCCUCUGCCCGCGGUCCCCACCCACAGGGAAGGCAAUGGGGAGCCUCCUCUGGCCACUGGGGUUGCCUCCUUGGCUCCACACUCCUGUCCAGCCUGCGGGGGCCGGGGUGGCCACGGUACCCCUUUAAGUGUCUUCUUGCCUCCUGGACUUUUAACCUGUGUCUCCUCAGCUGGAUGUAGAUUCCCAAAGGCAGGAACUGUGUCUCUGAGCCACUCGUCCUCCUAGGGGACAGCGUGGGGAAGUGGUCUCCAGGACAAGAAUGAAGAUGGAGGACUCGGCUGGUCCCAGAGACCUUGGAGAGUCAUUAAAAGGCAUAAAACGGAGGCUGACAUCACGCAGUGGACUGUCAAGGGGGUGAAUGGGAGAAUGCGGGAAGCACUUAACGUGGAGCCAGGCAAACCCGCCACAGCCCCCUGCAACCCUCAGACCAUCGGCAUCCACCUGUCCUGGCCGACGGCCAGACCACCAAGGAGACCAAGAUCCAUCUGCUACCAGAAGAAGCCAGAGGUUCUUCCCUUAGUGGCAGCAGGCUGGCACCUCCACCCCCGGGGAGUGGUGACCAGUGGAGGGGUAACGGGUACCUGCCAAGUCUGCCUAAAAUUCGGGGACCCCGGAGUGGUCCUCACGUCUCCCUCCAGCCCUGAGGCCCGGCUAGCUUACAGCACAGCCUGGCCACCACACGGGUCCUCUCGGGACCACUGACUCAGCCCUCCACCAGCUUCAUCACAGACGUUUCCCUUCAAUGACAACAAGUCGGCCUUAAUGUGUCCCAGAUCCGGCGACCACCAGACCCUAGGGAGGCAGGUGGGGGUGGGGCACAGAGCCAGCCUGCCCAGUGACUCUCCGACUUGGGGCCACCAGGUGAGGGGUGCUGUGACCAGCCUGGCCCUCUCCAGCACCUAGUUUUAACCACCAUCCCCAGAGGCAAGGGACAGGCCCUGGCUCCACCUGGGGGUCCAGCUUCUGGGUCCCCUCCUCUGGGGCUGCAGUAGGAAGAGGACCUGUCAGGUUGGGCCUGAAACUGGCCCCCCAGGUGAAGAUGGAGGGGACGCUACCUGCGGGGCUGCCCACAGUCACCUCAAUUCCUGCUGUGGUCUCAGAUUCCGGCUGGGAAAGCCCGGCCCAGCCCCAGGCUCCAGCAUGUGACUCUGAGUCUCCAGGACUGGGUUCGGCUUGCACACAAAUCCAGGUGUGUGGAGGCCACCCCCGCCUCCCAACCAGAAGCCCUGGUGAUGGGAGAAGGGAUGGGAGGCACCCCAGCAUUGUGCCUUCUCUGCCUAGGCAGACUGAUCACCUUGUCCUCUGUCCCUGGGACAGCAUCUCUCCAAAGGGUGGUUCCAGCCCACAGCCUCUGUGAGCAGGAUGAGGGCUGAUUCACAAGAUACAUCAGUCUGCUCGGCUGCAGCAACAGUCCCACACACGGUCCCUAAUCAAAGGCAUUUAUUUCUCCCAGUCGGAGGCUGGAAUCCCAGACCCAGGUGUAGGCACGGCUGGUCCUCCUGAGGCCUCUCUCCUGGGCGUGCAGACAGCCGCCUCCUCCCCCUGUCCUCACAGGGUCGUGCCUCUCUGUGUGUGUUUGUGUCCUGACCUCUUCCUAUAAGGACCCCAGUCCUGUGGGAUCAGGACCCACCCUAGUGACCUCAUCUUAACUUGAUCAUCUGCAAAGACCUUGUUUCCGACUAAGGCCACACCCAGGUCCUGAGGGUUAUGACCCCCACAUCUUCUGGGGGACACAGGUCUGUGCAAAGCACAGCCUAAAGUAGAUGGACUCUACGGGUCCGUCCCUCCAGGCCAGGAGAUGCACUGCCCCGCACCCACCCCGGGGAAGCUGGGCAGGAAGCAGGCCCUGCCCUCGCACUUGCCCGUGCGCUUGUGGGUGAGGGAGCCAUGCAGGAUUCUUCCUCUCGCCUGCUGGUCGCUCCAGGCAGAUGCAACCAGAGGCCAAGUGUGCAGAACUGACCACACCUGGCCAGAAUUUUUUCAAUUGUUUACUACUGUUGUCCCUGAGUCAGGAAGAUCCCCCUGGAGGAAGGCAUGACAACCCCGUCCAGUAUUCUCGCCUGGAGAAUCCCAUGGACAGAGGAGCCUGGCGGGCCUCAGUGCCUGGGGCCACACAGAGCCGGACACGACUGAGUGACAGACGCUUGUACUUGUUGUUAUCGUGAUGCAGCCACCGUUCCUCUGUUCAGAAAAGAAACAGCCUCGAGCUCCUGUCACUUCUGAUCUUGGCCCUGCAGCUCCGUUGCCAGAAAGAACAGUCUGAUGGGAGCAGAAAGUGAAUACGUCCCCAAGCUGACCUAUGGGAGUGCGUGAGGGGGCUCUUCCAGGGUCCCUGUCCAUCAUCAAAACAGGAGCCCUGUCAGAGCUGGGCUAGCAGCCCCCCACCUGCUCUCCAUCCCCAGAGUUCCAGAUGGAUUCAGCAAGAGGACGCAUCAGUGGUUCGUGUCCUUUAUUAACCAGACAGGCAUUGAGCGUCCAUAGCAGGAAGAGGCACUGCUGAGAAGGCUCAGAACACUGCUCGUGAAUCUCACAGGAUGUCGGCUUUGGAGAGGGUGGUUCCCAAGGCAGAUCUCACCACGUGAACCUCUCCCUGCCUGCGCUCGGUGCCAGAUUCAGACACAGCACCACUCCUGCGUGCUCCAGCACGUGACCAUCCUCCAGCAGGUGUGAUGAUGGUGACGAAAUCAGGAGGGCUUCCCUCAAACCCACAGUGGAUGGAGCUGGCCACGGAGGACAGGACCACCUCCGACAAACUGGGGAGGAAGAAAGCCUGCCGUUAGUCAUCCUCCUCCUCACUCUGCGUACCCCUGGGCUCCACGCCCCACGAGGAGGAAGGACCUUGCCCCCUCCCCCACGGCUGACGC
ensembl:lncRNA